GAAUCACCCAUCUUCGUACUCAGUAGCAACAGCAACUCAUCUCUCAUCUCUUUUCUGUGAAUCAUCGCAUAGCCACCACCACCAAUCGAGCAGCCCACCGCUACCGCAUUCCGCAGCCACCGCAUCCUGCAGCCACCGCGGCGACGGGUUUGACCACUGCAUCAUCGUCGAGCUCGCUGUAGAACUACAGAAGCCAGAAGGAAAUCCACCAUCCCUAGCCCAAUUGACGCCGGCAAUGACCACCAGCAGUUGCCACCGUCGCGGUUCGAAGCUUCAAUCGGCGUAGUUGUCGUCUGUUCGUCUGAACUUCGAAGCUUCUGUCGUCAGCAGCACGAUUUGAAGAUUCUGUUGUCGUGCUCGUCGGCUGGUUGGUUUGAACUUCAAAGCUUCUGUCGUCGGCCACCCCUGUCCUACCAAGCAUCACUUCUGCCGCCGUGGACUCUGUACCUUCUUUCUUCUCUCUAACGCAGUGAGUUCUUCAAUUUUUCAAUUAAUUUUUUUAUUUUGUUAACUAUAUGAAACUGCAGUGAGUUCUUCAGUUUUUUAUUUCAGUUAAUUUUGUAUUUUGUUAAUUAUAUGAAUUUUCGCAGAGUUCUUUAGUUCUUCAGUUUUUUAUUUUGUUAAUUUUGUAAUGCUGGAUAGAACUUUGGAUUCUGAAUUCAGAAUUCUGAAUGUUGCUAGAAUUGCUGCAAACUUCGAAUCUUUUUAUGCUUA